AGGUGUUGAGACUUCAGGAAUUUGAUGAGCUUGAAUUUCCUCAUCCAUUGGUGUGGAUGCAGCAGAGCGAUUGUCAUCCAUUUUCUCAUCCUGUUCUGGAAUGACAUGCUCUUCACAAAAUGGUACAAUCAUGUAUGAUGGUGCAACACUGAGGGGGGUAGCAUCCAUUGUAGCUGAUGAUGUAGUAGGCAGAGUCUUCACGCGUUUUGCCUCUGAAGAUUUUGAAGGUGUUGAUGCCUUUCUCUUCUUUGCUUUAUUCUCAGCAGCUUUUGUUUUCUUCACGUCCGAUGCAGACGGAAGAGUCACUUUCUUCACCUUUGAAGACAUUGGUGAAGGAGCAUUUUCAUCAGGCAUUGCAUGAGCAGUGUCAGACCUGGUAGAUUCUCGGUAGGAAUAUGCUGAGUAAUUUAAUCAGUAACUGGUUCUUCAUCUUCAUACGAAUCAGCCAGUUUCACAGUAUAGCUGGGCCGAGGAUUUUUUGGUUGCUUUGGGGCUGACACCCUAC
rnacentral:lncRNA from 1 species